GGGCCCGCACAAGCGGUGGAGUAUGUGGUUUAAUUCGAUGCAACGCGAAGAACCUUACCAGGGUUUGACAUCCUGCGAAUCUCUUGGAAACUUGAGAGUGCCUUCGGGAGCGCAGUGACAGGUGGUGCAUGGCUGUCGUCAGCUCGUGUCGUGAGAUGUUGGGUUAAGUCCCGCAACGAGCGCAACCCACGUCUUUAGUUGCCAGCAUUUAGUUGGGCACUCUAGAGAGACCGCCGGUGAUAAACCGGAGGAAGGUGUGGAUGACGUCAAGUCAUCAUGCCCCUUACAUCCUGGGCUACACACGUACUACAAUGCUACGGACAAAGGGCAGCAAGUUCGCGAGGACAAGCAAAUCCCAUAAACCGUGGCUCAGUUCAGAUCGUAGGCUGCAACUCGCCUACGUGAAGGAGGAAUC
rnacentral:rRNA from 1 species